rnacentral:pre_miRNA from 1 species
CAACAUCCACAGGCUGGCUGUCCCCCAGGCCAGACUAGUUAUGUAUCUCUUUGAGAGGCUCACCCUUAAUCCCGACUAGGAAU